UACGUAGGGGGCAAGCGUUGUCCGGAUUCAUUGGGCGUAAAGAGCGUGUAGGCGGCCAGGUAGGUCGGUUGUGAAAACUGGAGGCUCAACCUUCAGAGGUCGACCGAAACCAUCUGGCUAGAGUCCGGGAGAGGAGAGUGGAAUUCCUGGUGUAGCGGUGAAAUGCGCAGAUAUCAGGAAGAACACCCGUGGCGAAGGCAGGUCUCUGGGCAUUAACUGACGCUGAGGAGCGAAAGCAUGGGGAGCGAACAGG
rnacentral:rRNA from 1 species